rnacentral:rRNA from 1 species
ACGCUGGUGGCAGGCCUAACACAUGCAAGUCGAGCGGAUGAAGGGAGCUUGCUCCUGGAUUCAGCGGCGGACGGGUGAGUAAUGCCUAGGAAUCUGCCUGGUAGUGGGGGAUAACGUUCCGAAAGGAACGCUAAUACCGCGUACGUCCUACGGGAGAAAGCAGGGGACCUUCGGGCCUUGCGCUAUCAGAUGAGCCUAGGUCGGAUUAGCUAGUUGGUGAGGUAAUGGCUCACCAAGGCGACGAUCCGUAACUGGUCUGAGAGGAUGAUCAGUCACACUGGAACUGAGACACGGUCCAGACUCCUACGGGAGGCAGCAGUGGGGAAUAUUGGACAAUGGGCGAAAGCCUGAUCCAGCCAUGCCGCGUGUGUGAAGAAGGUCUUCGGAUUGUAAAGCACUUUAAGUUGGGAGGAAGGGCUGUAGGCUAAUAUCCUGCGGUUUUGACGUUACCAACAGAAUAAGCACCGGCUAACUUCGUGCCAGCAGCCGCGGUAAUACGAAGGGUGCAAGCGUUAAUCGGAAUUACUGGGCGUAAAGCGCGCGUAGGUGGUUCGUUAAGUUGGAUGUGAAAGCCCCGGGCUCAACCUGGGAACUGCAUCCAAAACUGGCGAGCUAGAGUACGGUAGAGGGUAGUGGAAUUUCC